rnacentral:rRNA from 1 species
UACGGGGGGUGCGAGCGUUGUCCGGAAUCACUGGGCGUAAAGGGCGCGUAGGUGGUUUGAUAAGGGUGUGGUGAAAGUCCGGGGCUCAACCCCGGAUCUGCCGUGCCGACUGUCAAACUCGAGGGCUGUAGAGGCAGACGGAAUUCCGGGUGUAGCGGUGGAAUGCGUAGAGAUCCGGAGGAAGACCGGUGGCGAAGGCGGAUCUCUGGGCCUGUCCUGACGCUGAGGCGCGAAAGCUAGGGGAGCGAACAGG